GAGGUUGAUCAUGGCUCAGAUUGAACGCUGGCGGCAGGCCUAACACAUGCAAGUCGAACGGUAACAGGAAGAAGCUUGCUUCUUUGCUGACGAGUGGCGGACGGGUGAGUAAUGUCUGGGAAACUGCCUGAUGGAGGGGGAUAACUACUGGAAACGGUAGCUAAUACCGCAUAACGUCGCAAGACCAAAGAGGGGGACCUUCGGGCCUCUUGCCAUCGGAUGUGCCCAGAUGGGAUUAGCUAGUAGGUGGGGUAACGGCUCACCUAGGCGACGAUCCCUAGCUGGUCUGAGAGGAUGACCAGCCACACUGGAACUGAGACACGGUCCAGACUCCUACGGGAGGCAGCAGUGGGGAAUAUUGCACAAUGGGCGCAAGCCUGAUGCAGCCAUGCCGCGUGUAUGAAGAAGGCCUUCGGGUUGUAAAGUACUUCAGCGGGGAGGAAGGGAGUAAAGUUAAUACCUUUGCUCAUUGACGUUACCCGCAGAAGAAGCACCGGCUAACUCCGUGCCAGCAGCCGCGGUAAUACGGAGGGUGCAAGCUUUAAUCGGAAUUACUGGGCGUAAAGCGCACGCAGGCGGUUUGUUAAGUCAGAUGUGAAAUCCCCGGGCUCAACCUGGGAACUGCAUCUGAUACUGGCAAGCUUGAGUCUCGUAGAGGGGGGUAGAAUUCCAGGUGUAGCGGUGAAAUGCGUAGAGAUCUGGAGGAAUACCGGUGGCGAAGGCGGCCCCCUGGACGAAGACUGACGCUCAGGUGCGAAAGCGUGGGGAGCAAACAGGAUUAGAUACCCUGGUAGUCCACGCCGUAAACGAUGUCGACUUGGAGGUUGUGCCCUUGAGGCGUGGCUUCCGGAGCUAACGCGUUAAGUCGACCGCCUGGGGAGUACGGCCGCAAGGUUAAAACUCAAAUGAAUUGACGGGGGCCCGCACAAGCGGUGGAGCAUGUGGUUUAAUUCGAUGCAACGCGAAGAACCUUACCUGGUCUUGACAUCCACGGAAGUUUUCAGAGAUGAGAAUGUGCCUUCGGGAACCGUGAGACAGGUGCUGCAUGGCUGUCGUCAGCUCGUGUUGUGAAAUGUUGGGUUAAGUCCCGCAACGAGCGCAACCCUUAUCCUUUGUUGCCAGCGGUCCGGCCGGGAACUCAAAGGAGACUGCCAGUGAUAAACUGGAGGAAGGUGGGGAUGACGUCAAGUCAUCAUGGCCCUUACGACCAGGGCUACACACGUGCUACAAUGGCGCAUACAAAGAGAAGCGACCUCGCGAGAGCAAGCGGACCUCAUAAAGUGCGUCGUAGUCCGGAUUGGAGUCUGCAACUCGACUCCAUGAAGUCGGAAUCGCUAGUAAUCGUGGAUCAGAAUGCCACGGUGAAUACGUUCCCGGGCCUUGUACACACCGCCCGUCACACCAUGGGAGUGGGUUGCAAAAGAAGUAGGUAGCUUAACCUUCGGGAGGGCGCUUACCACUUUGUGAUUCAUGACUGGGGUGAAGUCGUAACAAGGUA
rnacentral:rRNA from 1 species